rnacentral:lncRNA from 1 species
AAAAUAUUCUUUUUCUAAAAAGUUUUUUUCCAUAGAAGUGUGUUUUGAACCAAUUUCCUAGCCAACACUGUUGCAGAGACAGGUGCCGUUUUUGCAUUCUGUUGUUGAAGCUGGUUUCUACUUGUGAAACUCCAAAACCAAUUUUACAAAUGUAUAUAACUUUUCUUAAAAGUUUGGGUAGACUGUCAGCGUGGUAAUGGCUCUCUACAGGUAUUACUGCAAAUAGCUUCGCUAUCAUCGGUUGACGAGCAAUUGUCUGUUGGAUUCAGCUGCUAGUAAGGAAUGCCAACUACUUGCCUGUGAGGUUUCCAAAAGCAUCAUUAAAAUAUCUGCCUGUUUUUGCUGUUUGGUUAACUGGUUCUUCUAGUGCUGCAGGUCCCGCGGUGGCUCCUUUUGUGUUGGUGCACAAGGAAAUGGGGAAGGAGCCUCAGCACAACUGUGGAAACAGUGUCUGAUGCUUCUUGGGAACUUGUAGAAAGCUUGUGAUAGAUCCUGCCAAGGUGACGUUUGCUGUUUAAUUACUGUCCUGUAUUACCUAAGACUGAAAGAAAAAAAACGUCUACAGACCUGAUGUAAAGCAAUUGUUGCUGUUGUAUAAGGCCCAAUGAUGAACUUGCACAAGUUUGCUUUUUUUUUUUCAUGGCUCUCAUUGGUGAGCUCACUCAUUAGAAUGGAUGUGGUUUAAUGGUUAAAUGCUCAAACUCCCUCUAAUAUGAGGAAGUUAAGAAAAUGAGCCUUUGUAGGUUUUACUUAAAAGAUGUAAUUCCCAGCUUUGCAUCUCAAAGACAAUGGUGUGUGCCUGUGCUGUGGUGUAGGCACAGGUAUGCAGCUUGUGCAAUUUCUGACUGCUCCAUGGCAGCAAACUCAGUGUACAGCAGGUUUUGCAGCCCCAGUGGGUACAUCUUAAACUGUAAAAGUUUGUUUCCAAACUGCACUGUUGUCUGAAUUUCAAAUACCUUGUGUAAUUACAGAAAUGUAGUAAUUAAGACCGUUGUGCCAAAACCAUUGGUGGCAAAGUAACUCAUUCCCAGCCUCUCUUCUAAAAUGCUAUUGGUUACAGCUUGGAAGGUGGAACUCCGUGCUUUGCGUGGCAAGAUUUAUUUCAUGCAGGUUCUGACAUCUAUUUAUUGGUGGGGAUGUUGAUUGAGAUUCUGGAAACCACAAAAGCUUCUAAAUGUAUACUCGCUGAGUACUGCAGUGUUGGCCUGUUUUCAUCUGUCUCCAGACCUUUUUCUCCCACCCAUCAGCACCAUCUGCCUUGCAAAACUGCAGCUGCUUGGCAGUAUCUGGCAGAACUGAUAGGUUUAAGCAUGGACACCGAUCUGCGUAUUGAAGCGGAACAGGGAUUCACGGGCUGUCCCCCAGCCUAUGAGAGGGCCUGACCUGGACUUUCCAAAGCUGGAUGGAUGUAACAGCUGGUCCUGGCGUGCUUACUGUUGUGCAUGGGUUGGAAAUAGUGAACUCUUCAGUUCGUGUCCCACUAUGAAGUUGGCGUUACUUUAAGGUAGAAUGAAGCCAUUGUGAAAACAUUCCAAGCGUGCUUAGUCCUUCCUCUUUGAGGACACUGUCACCUCCACUAGGUUUAGUGCUGUGCUUUAAGAUGUUGGUGAGAAUAAGUAUUGGCUAAUUCAAAUAGUUGGUAUAAAUGGUUGUGUAGCAGAAUGACUGAUUUUUUGAGAUAGCAUUUCCUGUAAAAGUAAUUAAGCAUGGGUUGAUGGUGCACUUUGUAUACAGUAAUCUGGCAUGCAUGCUGGUAAACUACUUCCUACACUUCAGAGGCACCACAAGCCUUUUUAUCCAAUUGCUGGUUAUGUAAAAUACAUGCAGAAUGUUAAUGCAGUGUUGUUAUGGUAAAUGUGUGAACAGUGUUACUAAUUGAUAUAACUGAUAACAGAUUACAUGUGCCUGACAUUCUUAUACCACACAGUAUGUUUAGGUUUUAACUAAUAUGGACUUCGGUGGAAUAGUCUUAGAUAUUUCAAGCCUUUGUUUUACUUACACAAUGGUGCUCUAUUUGUGUUUUUUCUCCUUUUUCUUUUUUUUAAAGAAGGAAGAAAUAAAAGCAUCUGAACACUUGUAGUACAUAUUACAUCCAAAGGAGUCCAACACAAAAAUGCUUCUAACCAUCUCGGUUUUAAUUUGCCUUCAGUUCCUGGCCUUUCUCAUCAGCUCGGUUCCUUCUGUCAAUUGUUGCUGACUACUUUGGAUAACUGCGGUCAUGUUACCAAUUACGAAGUGAUUCUGCACUGCCUUUGGAUCGUGUAUGUAUACAGAAACAGUCUUAAAGCUUUUAUUUAAGCUAUUGAAAAAACCAGGGACUUGUGCCAUUUGUUCUUUAACAGUGCUGUUGUAAAAAGACUUCCCUGUGAAAAAAACUCACUUGCUAUGAACUCUGUUUAUAGCUUCUUUUUUUCCCCCACAAUGGAUCUUUUCUUUGUAUUUGUACAGUGGCUCAGUGAAAGAUGUUGCCAUGAGUUGAUAUUGUAACCAAUAAACAAGUGCUUUUAACCAGAUA